rnacentral:rRNA from 1 species
CCGUAAACCGACACAGGUAGUCAAGGAGAGAAUCCUAAGGUGCUCGAGUGAUUCAUGGCUAAGGAACUAGGCAAAAUGGCCCUGUAACUUCGGGAGAAGGGGCGCCAUCUUCGGAUGGCCGCAGUGAAAAGACCCAGGCGACUGUUUAGCAAAAACACAUGGCUUUGCGAAAUCGAGAGAUGAUGUAUAAGGCCUGACACCUGCCCGGUGCCGGAAGGUUAAGGGGGGGCGUUAUUUCCUUCGGGAGAGAAGCGCUGAACUGAAGCCCCGGUAAACGGCGGCCG